ACGCACGCUGGCGGCAUGCCUAACCCCUGCCAGUCGCACGAGACCUUCGGGUCUAGUGGCGCACGGGUGCGUAACGCGUGGGAACCUGCCCUUAGGUUCGGAAUAACUCCCCGAAAGGGGUGCUAAUACCGGAUAAUGUCUUCGGACCAAAGAUUUAUCGCCUUUGGAUGGGCCCGCGUUGGAUUAGCUAGUUGGUAGGGUAAAAGCCUACCAAGGCGACGAUCCAUAGCUGGUCUGAGAGGAUGAUCAGCCACACUGGGACUGAGACACGGCCCAGACUCCUACGGGAAGCAGCAGUGGGGAAUAUUGGACAAUGGGCGAAAGCCUGAUCCAGCAAUGCCGCGUGAGUGAUGAAGGCCUUAGGGUUGUAAAGCUCUUUUACCCGGGAUGAUAAUGACAGUACCGGGAGAAUAAGCUCCGGCUAACUCCGUG
rnacentral:rRNA from 1 species